UAGUCUGUAUAAAUCAAUGGAGUCUUAUG
rnacentral:piRNA from 1 species